GGAGACAGACAGGACAUGGGCAGGGAGCUUGACGGGUCUUCCAAGUGAGCGAGGUGAGGGAUAGUGCCCCAGUGACCUGCCCCUCCUCCUCCAGGCCAAUGUGAGGGAGUUGAUGGACCGAGCUCUGGAGCUAGAGGCACGGCGCUGGGCUGAGGAUGUGCCUCCCCACAGGCUGGACGGCUACUGCCACAGCGAGCUGGCCAUCGACAUCAUCCAGGCGAGCCCCUGCUCAGCUCACCC
rnacentral:lncRNA from 1 species